rnacentral:rRNA from 1 species
UACGUAGGGGGGCAAGCGUUGUCCGGAAUCAUUGGGCGUAAAGAGCGUGUAGGCGGCUCGAUAAGUCUGCUGUGAAAGUCCAGGGCUCAACCCUGGAAGGCCGGUGGAAACUGUCGGGCUAGAGUCCGGAAGAGGCGAGUGGAAUUCCCGGUGGUAGCGGUGAAAUGCGCAGAUAUCGGGAGGAACACCAAUGGCGAAGGCAGCUCGCUGGGACGGUACUGACGCUGAGACGCGAAAGCGUGGGGAGCAAACA